CUUAAAAAUUGUAACCUUUAACUGGAGUGUGAAUGUUACUGAAGAGACCAAAAAUACUUUGACAAUCAUUACAACGAGGAGGUUGGGGAGAUGUUUCAUUGUUUGUUUCAAGGUUACCGAAGAUCCAAAAGAUUUGGAAGUUUUUUUCUUUACUGAAAAGAGAAAAAGAGGCACGUUCAUGAAAAAUGGUGCUUUUACUAGCAUUUUUAGAUAUUGACUCUUUACUAACACAUUGGCACGUGUCAAAUGUUGUCAUAUGGUCAUUUCUAGUUGCCAAAAUAGAGUUAUGAACUAGGAUAAAUAAGAUGCCUUGGAGACGCGAGCACAGCUGCAAUAUAGAAGUUUUGUUCUAUCGUGACAGAGUUAUCCAUAUCAAAAUGAAAAAUGUCAGUUUUUUCAUCUCUGUCCCAUAUGCACGGGUACCGCUUCUUAGCUAUUCUGAUGAUAAUUUUGUUUGAGUUUGUCAUUGCAGAAUGACAAGAGUGGUUAUGUCAUAUAGUCAGCACCAUCUCUCAGAGGCUGAUUGGUUUUCGUGGGGACCUACAAUUGUGGCUUCAGUCAGAGAUUCAAGGUGCCAGGGCCAAGAGAAUAACAAUCUCAGAUGUGAGUGUCAGCAGUGAUUCUGUGUGACUACAUGCGCUUUGGUUGCAUCUUUUUGAGACCAGCAUUGCUCAUCUUGUUUUUAGUACCCCCAGUUGUGUGCUCGCUCUGUCCUCUUUUUCCUGCAGAGUUGCAAUUGUUUCACCUAUUUCAGCCAUAGCAGGGUCUUCAGUGAAAGAGCGUCGACAAUCUUUACGACAUAUUUCAACAAUGCUCCUUCCUGAUACUAAAAGAAAAAGCAUGUGCGGGGUGAAUAGGUUAUUGCAUAACAGAGGGCAAUUCAUCACAAGAAUUAUGGAGCUGAAAAGAGCUGCUCUGCUCCAGCCAGUGAUAGGCUAAACAUUUGACGCAUUCAUCACGAGUCUUGCACGGACCAUCCUUCAUAUGACAAUACCAGCGGCAGAGGAUGAACGUGAGAAAGAAGAGGCAAUCAAGACUAGCAGAGACCUCACCUGAAUGUGGGAGUCAUUACAUCAUAUAGUCUUCAUUUGACCUCUGAGAGGUGACAACUAGAUCUUUGUUGUGGCAAAAGCAUUAACUUGCAAUCUAAGACUACAUUGUCUUGCUGGCUGAUUGACAUUCAAGUUGCCAGGGCCAAGAGAACAACAAUCUUGGAUGUUGACUCUAGCAGUGAGUCCAAUUGACUUGCAUAAGAAUGCAAGUUGAAAAAUCAAACAGAAAGCCCGGUUUUUGAAACUUCAAUAGGAAAGUUAAGUUCAAAGGCGUUCCUCCACUCCAGUGGUGGGUUGAUGGCAGGGAUAGCAGAGUGGCAUAAAAGAUGACAGUCUGGAACUGGGAGGAUCACUGCCACUGUCAGUUUGGAGUUUAGUUGCUACAAGGUGCAUUCCCAUUCAUGGCUAGAUACACGACUGUGCGAGGCGAGUACGGCUGCGCUCUUCCAUCAUGCCAUACACGAGACUGCACCGCAUGGAUUAUUAUGAGAAUGAUUUGCAGUAAAACCACAGCCAAAGUUUUUGAAUGGGGCCUUGCAACAGACUCACGGAAAGCAACAGGAGUGGCACAAACCAGGGAACGGAGUGGAAGGAGUCGUGGAACAGCAACCAAGCGAAUAUAUCGAACCGGUGAAGUCAAUGAGGAAGGAUGAUGCUCCAUCACAAGAAGGAGCAUGGCUGCCAGAUAAGCGAAACGCAGCAACAAGAAAUGCAGGAGCAGGCUGCAGAUGGCGACAAUGGUGGUGACGGGGUGAGUUUCAAAGGGUGAAGUCAACUUCCCUGGUAUUUUACUUUGAUGAAGUCGACCAGGAUAGAGACAAUGGAGGUUAAAUCCAUGACGCCAUGAGGGAUGAAGGCAGGGACAUCAUUUGUGGUUCUUUUUAUGGACAGUGGCCCUCAAAAGAAAUUGGGAUCUAUUUGUUAUCAAAGAGAUCAAAGAUAAUCUCAAAAAUUGUUACAAGGAGAAUAAUCGUUUCGAGUAGCCAUAUGAAGCGUAGAAAUUGUUCUUGAGGUUAAAGCUUCUGACCUCUUUGAAAACAUUGCGAGCGUUGCAGAAUGACGAGUACUUACAUCAUAUAGUCAGCACUUUUCCUCUCAGAGGUGACAACUAGAUCUUUGUUGCUGUGAAUGCGUCAACUUGCUUCAGCAAAUAAUAUUUAUAAAGGCAGCGACUUCUUUUGUGAUGGAUCCUGUAUGAAUCUGGAAGCUCUUGGGUCUGAGUAAUGCAAUCUAAGACUGUUGUCUCACUGGCUGAUUGGUUUUCGUCAGGAGCUAGAAUUGUAGCUUCUGUCAGAGACUCAAGUUGCCGGGGCCAAGAGAAUAACAAUCUCAGAUGUCGAGUGUCUGCAGUGAUCCCUGUAAGUUGAAACAUCAAACAGGAAGGUGGUCUCCCGCCUCCGCAAUUCUUUUCUUAUCGAUAAGUGCCUACCCAACUCUGCAACUACAUGUGGUUUGGU